rnacentral:rRNA from 1 species
AAUAGAUACCUGGGUAGUCCACGCCCUAAACGAUGCUCACUAGGUGUUGGGGAAGCGAUUCCUUGGUACCGUAGCUAACGCGUGAAGUGAGCCGCCUGGGGAGUACGGCCGCAAGGUUAAAACUCAAAGGAAUUGACGGGGACCCGCACAAGCGGUGGAUGAUGUGGAUUAAUUCGAUGCAACGCGAACAACCUUACCUACCCUUGACAUGUCCGGAAGCCUGCUGAAAGGCGGGGGUGCUCGAAAGAGAACCGGAACACAGGUGCUGCAUGGCUGUCGUCAGCUCGUGUCGUGAGAUGUUGGGUUAAGUCCCGCAACGAGCGCAACCCUUGUCCCUAGUUGCUACGCAAGGGCACUCUAGGGAGACUGCCGGUGACAAACCGGAGGAAGGUGGGGAUGACGUCAAGCCCUCAUGGCCCUUAUGGGUAGGGCUUCACACGUCAUACAAUGGACGGUACAGAGGGUUGCCAACCCGCGAGGGGGAGCCAAUCCCAGAAAGCCGUUCGUAGUCCGGAUCGCAGUCUGCAACUCGACUGCGUG